AAGAAAUACUUCGCAACACCUUCAGUCAGUUUAGACUAAUUUCUCUCCCUCUGUGCUCUACUGGCAACCUGUACAGACUUCUAAACUCAAUGGCAGUAAACACACUGCUUCAUUAUCUUUGUUUCUCUGCCCGUUUUCCUCGGUAGCCUCAAGCUCCUGGAGGGAAUGGACCAAGUCUUAAUUGUCUUUGCAUGUGUCUAAGACCGAAUACAGCGCUUGGCUCUUAAGAUGUUUCUCGAGUUAGUGAUGCAUGUCCAGAACCAAGUGAAUUCUGGUCUGGCAGAAAGAAAGCUCUGUGAUGGACAGGACAGACAAGUUCCGGGGUGAGACUGCAGCUGCUGACCUGGAUGGUCCAGACUAGCUUCAGCCAUCUGCUUGGCCAGCCCUUGAUUGGCUGGACACAGAAAGGAAUGAAAACCAAUCAAGAAAGAUGACCUUUAUCAGAAGGAAACAAUUUGCAAGCAGCUGCCAGGACCCGGAGACCCGGAGAAGAGGAGCAGAAUGCUUGUCUUCGGUGGUCUCUCUGGGGGUCAUGAUCUGGGCACAACAGCAUGCACAUGCAGUCUUCCCCAGUUUCUAGAAGGGCAAGUGUUUUCCAAUGGCGGAGGAAAGAGCUUCUAACACUAACUGGGAUCACAGGUGGUAUACCUGGGCUAGCACUCUGUGCUUCAGAACAAAGGUGAAGAAUUCCAAAUCCCAGCAUUUGGCAGCCAGAGCCCUCAGCCUCUUGAAGACGGACCCCCUUCCAAGACCAUAGCAACAGGACUCCGAGUUGGUGGCUUCCUUCUAACUAAUGAGGGGUAAAUGGCGAGCCAAGCAAGAUGGGGAAGCAGCAGCCAGAAAGGAGGAGACUGCCGACACAGAGGCUCGGUGACCUCUGAUUAUCCGGAGCCGCUUCUUGAACACAUUUUUGUGAGACCGCCUGCUGUCUCCAGUCAGCAGGCUGCCUUCACUCCUCCUAAUUAAAGCCAGCAGGCUCCCAUGGAAGAAAACAAUUUCAAAGCAAAGGGAUGGGGUGGGGAGAAAGCCUUAGCCCUCUUCCCUUUCUUCCCAGGGAGACUCUGAGCUUGUUGGAGGUGAAGCAGGUCUGAAAGACAUGCCCGGCGAAUUAAAAUCCAGCAGGCCACAGGCUUCCAUUGAAUUGACUUCAUUCUCUUCCCCUGGAGUCUUGGGACUACACCCCAUGAGUUAUAAGAAAGGAGUCUAUAAAUGGCGCCUGACUUCAGUGCUCUGGCUUCCCGCCCACCCUACAUGGCCGCGCUCUUACCACGGCGGAGAGCAUCGCCAUCCAGCGAGCCUCCUCCUGAGGCUGAGCUCUGUCCGCCAACGAACCCCAGGGGAAUGGAGUGUUUGGGACUCGGAGCAUGAGCUCACCCGACUCCACAAGUCUGGGAUCACCUGCCAUCUGCUGGGAUCCUCCAUCUACCGGCCUAGGGAAGGUCUGAAGCAAUGUCCAGGUGUCCCCAGCCUCUACCUUGCACCCCUCCCUCAUUGCCCUGAGCCAUGGUCCCUCACCCACCACCUCUACUGUGACCUUUUACCACCUCCUUUUGCUGUAAGACUGAAUUCUGUAGGACCCUGCAGAGAAUGGGGCUGCCAUUACAGGGCUAAGUGUUCACCUGCUCACAUCCUGGAUAAGUAGGACUUGGCUACUUACUGUGAGGGGCCCCCAAAACAACUUGAUCACGCAGCUGCCAUGACAGGCUCAGAGGCCCAGCCACAGCUUCUGGCAGGCAACACCUGGACCCAGGAAGAGCCAUAAGCUGAUCCCACCCAGUGGGGCCUGCAUCUAAGAGCA